UACAACUGAUAUACCGAUGUCGGAAAUGAAAGCCGUCACGUUGAGCUGAAACCGACAGUCUGAUACUCCUACAUGCAAGUAUUUGAUAGAAAUACAAGCAUUCUGUAUGGAACUAGGUGAAGUCGGCUGAAUUCAAAUCUGAAGCCACUCUUAUAGAGAAGGUAUGGUUGGAGAUAGGCCGGGACGCUAUAAA
rfam:Bacillus circulans strain RIT379 contig28, whole genome shotgun sequence.